CGACAAACACCUCAACUAGAGUCUCAAGGAUGAACACCCCUUCUGAGGUCAAGAAGGAUCUGCUGGGAGUCGCAGAACGCCUGUGGCCAUCAGAGCCCAUCACCUUGGGGCCAGGGGCAUCUGCCUGGCAGCUGGUCUUGAAGAAGAUCAAGGAGUUGUCCAUCUCGGGCCGCCAAGAUGCCUUCAUGGUGGCUGACCUGGACGUGCUGGUCAGCCGCCAUCGGACCUUCCUCCAGGCCCUGCCCAGAGUCCAGCCCUUCUAUGCAGUCAAGUGUAACAGCAACCCCUGGGUGCUGCUCGUCUUAUCUGCCCUGGGCACUGGCUUUGACUGUGCCAGCCAGGGAGAGCUGGAGCAAGUGCUGGGCUUGGGCGUGGCCCCCUCGAGAGUCAUCUUCGCCAACCCCUGCAAGGCCGUCUCCCACAUCCAGUUCGCAGCCCGCUGUGGGAUGCAGCUUCUGACCUUCGACAGUGAGGAGGAACUGAUUAAGCUGGCCCGGUACCACCCGAGGGCUAGGUUGGUUCUCCGUAUACAGACCCGGGACAGUCAAAGCACCUUCCCUCUGCACACCAAGUUUGGAGCCCAUCUGGAGGCAUGUGGACACCUGCUCCAGGUUGCCAGAGAGCUGGGGUUGGCUGUGGUGGGGGCCUCCUUCCACGUGGGUUCCGACUGCCACACACCUGAGAGCUACAGACAGGCCAUCGCUGACUGCCAUAGUGUGUUUGAGAUGGGCUGCAAGGCUGGCCACCACAUGAGCCUCCUGGAUCUUGGAGGGGGCUUCCCAGGAGUUAAGGGCUCUGAAGCCAAAUUUGAAGAGAUGUCGAGAGUGAUCAACACUGCCCUGGCCCAGUACUUCCCGGAGGAGACCGGUAUCAAGGUCAUUGCAGAGCCUGGCCGCUUCUAUGCGGGGUCCGUGUGCACAGCUGCUGUGAACAUCAUAGCCAAGAAGUCUUCCCUGGAUCCAGGAGGCCACAGGAAGCUGGCAUACUACCUUAAUGAGGGCCAUUAUGGAGUCUUCCGACUCUUCCUCAGGGACUCUGUCCCCAGGAUACCCAUAGUGGUGAAGGAGUUCCUCUCGGAGCCCCCUCUCUUCUCUUCCCCUGCACGCUUUAUGGCCCCACAUGCGAUGCCUUUGACCGACUUUUUUCGACAGAGGUUCAGUUGCCAGAGCUGGAUGUAGGUGACUGGCUGAUUUUCCCUGACAUGGGUGCCUACAGUAGCUCCAUGAGUUCCACCUUCAAUGGCUUCCCGAUCUCAACUGUCUAUGAUGCCAUGAGCCCCCAACUCAGGAGCCUACUGGGGACAGUACCUUAGGCCAGGACAUGGCCAGAAUGAAGAGGAGUCAGACACCCAGUAUGAUAUGCCCACUGGGGAAAGCUUACUGUGAAAGGCCUAUGAGAUUGGUCCUUGGGGGAAAUGAGGCCUGGCCUCUUCUGCACUGA